rnacentral:rRNA from 1 species
GCGCAGCAGUCGAGAAUUUUUCUCAAUGGGGGCAACCCUGAAGGAGCGACGCCGCGUGGAGGAUGAAGGCUUUCGGGUUGUAAACUCCUGUCAUUUGAGAACAAGUGCCAACAAGUAACUACUGUUAGCUUGAUAGUAUCAGAAGAGGAAGGGACGGCUAACUCUGUGCCAGCAGCCGCGGUAAUACAGAGGUCCCAAGCGUUGUUCGGAUUCAUUGGGCGUAAAGGGUGCGUAGGUGGCGCCGUAAGUCAGGUGUGAAAUCUCGGGGCUUAACUCCGAAACUGCAUUUGAUACUGCGGUGCUUGAGGACUGGAGAGGAGACUGGAAUUCAUGGUGCAGCAGUGAAAUGCGUAGAGAUCAUGAGGAAGACCAGUGGCGAAGGCGGGUCUCUGGACAGUUCCUGACACUGAGGCACGAAGGCCAGGGGAGCAAACGGGAUUAGAUACCCCGGUAGU